rnacentral:rRNA from 1 species
GACGAACGCUGGCGGCGUGCCUAAUACAUGCAAGUCGAGCGGAACUGGGGGAGCUUGCUCCUUCCAGUUUAGCGGCGGACGGGUGAGUAACACGUGGGCAACCUGCCCUGCAGAUCGGGAUAACUCCGGGAAACCGGUGCUAAUACCGAAUAGUUUGGCGCCUCUCCUGAGGCGCUACGGAAAGACGGUUUCGGCUGUCACUGCCGGAUGGGGCCGCGGCGCAUUAGCUAGUUGGUGGGGUAACGGCCCACCAAGGCGACGAUGCGUAGCCGACCUGAGAGGGUGACCGGCCACACUGGGACUGAGACACGGCCCAGACUCCUACGGGAGGCAGCAGUAGGGAAUCUUCCGCAAUGGACGCAAGUCUGACGGAGCAACGCCGCGUGAGUGACGAAGGUUUUCGGAUCGUAAAACUCUGUUGUGAGGGAAGAACACGUACCAACUAACUAUUGGUACCUUGACGGUACCUCACCAGAAAGCCACGGCUAACUACGUGCCAGCCGCCGCAGUAA